rnacentral:rRNA from 1 species
CCUACGGGAGGCAGCAGUAGGGAAUCUUCCACAAUGGACGAAAGUCUGAUGGAGCAACGCCGCGUGAGUGAUGAAGGUUUUCGGAUCGUAAAACUCUGUUGUAAGGGAAGAACAAGUACGAGAGGGAAUGCUCGUACCUUGACGGUACCUUGCGAGAAAGCCACGGCUAACUACGUGCCAGCAGCCGCGGUAAUACGUAGGUGGCAAGCGUUGUCCGGAAUUAUUGGGCGUAAAGCGCGCGCAGGCGGCCUUUUAAGUCUGAUGUGAAAGCCCCCGGCUCAACCGGGGAGGGUCAUUGGAAACUGGAAGGCUUGAGUACAGAAGAGAAGAGUGGAAUUCCAUGUGUAGCGGUGAAAUGCGUAGAGAUGUGGAGGAACACCAGUGGCGAAGGCGACUCUUUGGUCUGUAACUGACGCUGAGGCGCGAAAGCGUGGGGAGCAAACAGGAUUAGAUACCCUGGUAGUCCACGCCGUAAACGAUGAGUGCUAGGUGUUGGGGGGUUUCCGCCCCUCAGUGCUGAAGCUAACGCAUUAAGCGACNCCGCCGCGGAGGACGGCCGGCGACGACGUUGAACGUACGAAGAAAGUUAGAGGCGNGNGAGNGCGACGGACGACGACGAGGGAGGAGG